UUCCGGUUGAUCCUGCCGGAGGUAACUGCUAUCCGGAGUCGAUUAAGCCAUGCGAGUCUAAAGGGUUUCUUCGGAAACCUUGGCGGACUGCUCAGUAACACGUGGAUAACCUACCCUUGGGACUGGAAUAACCCCGGGAAACUGGGGAUAAUACCGGAUAGAUCAGGGAUGCUGGAAUGCACCUUGAUCCAAAGCUCCGGCGCCCAAGGAUGGGUCUGCGGCCUAUCAGGUAGUAGUGGGUGUAACGUACCUACUAGCCAACGACGGGUACGGGUUGUGAGAGCAAGAGCCCGGAGAUGGAUUCUGAGACACGAAUCCAGGCCCUACGGGGUGCAGCAGGCGCGAAACCUUUACAAUGUGCGAAAGCAUGAUAAGGGAACUCCGAGUGCCAGCAUCUAAUGUUGGCUGUCCUUGUGCCUAAAACGCACAAGAUAGCAAGGGCCGGGUAAGACCGGUGCCAGCCGCCGCGGUAACACCGGCGGCCCGAGUGGUAGCCGCUAUUAUUGGGUCUAAAGGGUCCGUAGCCGGUUCGAUAAGUCCUCUGGGAAACCUGGUUGCUUAACAAUCAGACUGCCAAGGGAUACUGUCGAACUUGAGACCGGGAGAGGUAAGAGGUACUUCAGGGGUAGGAGUGAAAUCUUGUAAUCCCUGGGGGACCAUCUGUGGCGAAGGCGUCUUACCAGAACGGGUCUGACGGUGAGGGACGAAAGCUGGGGGCGCAAACCGGAUUAGAUACCCGGGUAGUCCCAGCCGUAAACGAUGCUCGCUAUGUGUCAGGUACGGUGUGACCGUAUCUGGUGCCGUAGGGAAGCCGUGAAGCGAGCCACCUGGGAAGUACGGCCGCAAGGCUGAAACUUAAAGGAAUUGGCGGGGGAGCACUACAACGGGUGGAGCCUGCGGUUUAAUUGGAUUCAACGCCGGG
rnacentral:rRNA from 1 species